GGCCUAACACAUGCAAGUCGAGCGGCAGCGGAAGGAAGCUUGCUUCCUUGCCGGCGAGCGGCGGACGGGUGAGUAAUGUCUGGGGAUCUGCCCGAUGGAGGGGGAUAACUACUGGAAACGGUAGCUAAUACCGCAUAACGUCGCAAGACCAAAGUGGGGGACCUUCGGGCCUCACACCAUCGGAUGAACCCAGAUGGGAUUAGCUAGUAGGCGGGGUAAAGGCCCACCUAGGCGACGAUCUCUAGCUGGUCUGAGAGGAUGACCAGCCACACUGGAACUGAGACACGGUCCAGACUCCUACGGGAGGCAGCAGUGGGGAAUAUUGCACAAUGGGGGAAACCCUGAUGCAGCCAUGCCGCGUGUAUGAAGAAGGCCUUCGGGUUGUAAAGUACUUUCAGCGGGGAGGAAGGCAGUGAACUUAAUACGUCCAUUGAUUGACGUUACCCGCAGAAGAAGCACCGGCUAACUCCGUGCCAGCAGCCGCGGUAAUACGGAGGGUGCAAGCGUUAAUCGGAAUGACUGGGCGUAAA
rnacentral:rRNA from 1 species